rnacentral:rRNA from 1 species
UACGUAGGGGGCAAGCGUUGUCCGGAUUUAUUGGGCGUAAAGCGUGCGCAGGCGGUUCGUUGUGUCGGUGGUGAAAUCCCCGGGCUUAACCUGGGAAUGGCCAUGGAAACUGGCGAACUGGAGUGCGGCAGAGGGGGGUGGAAUUCCGCGUGUAGCAGUGAAAUGCGUAGAGAUGCGGAGGAACACCGAUGGCGAAGGCAGCCCCCUGGGCUAGCACUGACGCCUCAGGCACGAAAGCGUGGGGAGCAAACAGG